rnacentral:rRNA from 1 species
CCUACGGGUGGCAGCAGUGAGGAAUAUUGGUCAAUGGACGGAAGUCUGAACCAGCCAUGCCGCGUGCAGGAAGACGGCUCUAUGAGUUAUAAACUGCUUUUGUACAAGGGUAAACCUGAAUACGUGUAUUCAGCUGAAAGUACUGUACGAAUAAGGAUCGGCUAACUCCGUGCCAGCAGCCGCGGUAAUACGGAGGAUCCAAGCGUUAUCCGGAUUUAUUGGGUUUAAAGGGUGCGUAGGCGGAUUGAUAAGUUAGAGGUGAAAUGUCCGAGCUUAACUCGGGAACUGCCUCUAAUACUGUUGAUCGAGAGAGUAGAUGCGGUAGGCGGAAUGUAUGGUGUAGCGGUGACAUGCUUAGAGAUCAGACAGAACACCGAUUGCGAAGGCAGCUUACCAAUCUAUAUCUGACGUUGAGGCACGAAAGCGUGGGGAGCAAACAGGAUUAGAUACCCCAGUAGUC